rnacentral:rRNA from 1 species
GACGAACGCUGGCGGCGUGCUUAACACAUGCAAGUCGAACGGAAAGGCCCUGCUUUUGUGGGGUGCUCGAGUGGCGAACGGGUGAGUAACACGUGAGUAACCUGCCCUCGACUUUGGGAUAACUUCAGGAAACUGGGGCUAAUACCGGAUAGGAGCUCCUGCUGCAUGGUGGGGGUUGGAAAGUUUCGGCGGUUGGGGAUGGACUCGCGGCUUAUCAGCUUGUUGGUGGGGUAGUGGCUUACCAAGGCUUUGACGGGUAGCCGGCAUGAGAGGGUGACCGGCCACAUUGGGACUGAGAUACGGACCAGACUCCUACGGGAGGCAGCAGUGGGGAAUAUUGCACAAUGGGCGGAAGCCUGAUGCAGCAACGCCGCGUGCGGGAUGACGGCCUUCGGGUUGUAAACCGCUUUCGCCUGUGACGAAGCGUGAGUGACGGUAAUGGGUAAAGAAGCACCGGCUAACUACGUG